AUGUUUUUAGUAUAAUAAUAUGUACGUUUACCUUCCAAGUAAAAAGAUUCUAGAGAAAAAACAUA
rnacentral:tRNA from 1 species